rnacentral:rRNA from 1 species
UGAAUACGAGACGCUAAGGCGUCGAAGUAGUGUAUGUCAUACUUCCAAGAAAAGCUUGCACUGUCAUAGAUAAAAAACGCCUGUACCAUAACCGACACAGGUGGGUAGGUAGAGUAUACUAAGGGGCGCGAGAUAACUCUCUCUAAGGAACUCGGCAAAAUAACUCCGUAACUUCGGGAGAAGGAGUGCCUUAUUCGUAAGGUUGCAAUAACAAGAUCCAAGCAACUGUUUAUCAAAAACACAGGUCUCCGCUAAGUCGUAAGACGAUGUAUGGGGGCUGACGCCUGCCCAGUGCCAGAAGGUUAAAGAAGUUGGUUAGCAAUUGCGAAGCUGAUAACUGAAGCCCUGGUGAACGGCGGCCGUAACAAUAACGGUCCUAAGGUAGCGAAAUUCCUUGUCGGGUAAGUUCCGACCCGCACGAAAGGCGUAAUGAUUUGGAUACAGUCUCGGAGAGGGCUCGGUGAAAUAGACUUGUCUGUGAAGAUGCGGACUACCUGCACCAGGACAGAAAGACCCUAUGAAGCUUUACUGUAACUUGAAAUUGAAAUUGGACUUUAUUCGCGCAGCAUAGGUGGGAGGCGUUGAUUAUAAUCUUGCGGGAUUAUUGGAGCCAUCAGUGAGAUACCACUCUUGUAAUGUUAGAUUUCUAACUUUGAAUCAUUAUCUGGUCAAAGAACAGUUUCAGGCGGGCAGUUUGACUGGGGCGGUCGCCUCCUAAACGGUAACGGAGGCGUACAAAGGUUUCCUCUGAACGGUUAGAAAUCGUAUCUAGAGUGUAAAGGCAUAAGGAAGCUUGACUGUGAGACCUACAAGUCGAGCAGGGACGAAAGUCGGUCUUAGUGAUCUGACGGUACUGAGUGGAAAGGCCGUCACUCAACGGAUAAAAGUUACUCUAGGAUAACAGGCUGAUCUCCCCCAAGAGUUCACAUCGACGGGGAGGUUUGGCACCUCGAUGUCGGCUCAUCGCAUCCUGGGGCGGUAGUACGUCCCAAGGGUUGGGCUGUUCGCCCAUGAAAGCGGUACGCGAGCUGGGUUCAGAACGUCGUGAGACAGUUCGGCCCAUAUCCGGUGUAGGCGUUAGAAUAUUGAGAGGAGCCUUCUUUAGUACGAGAGGACCGAGAAGGACAUACCUCUGGUGUACCAGUUAUCGUGCCAACGGUAAACGCUGGGUAGCUAUGUAUGGAGUGGAUAACCGCUGAAAGCAUCUAAGUGGGAAGCCCACCUCAAGAUAAGUAUUCUCAUC